rnacentral:rRNA from 1 species
UAACGCGUGGGAAUCUGCCCUGGAGUGGGGGAUAACCGAGGGAAACCUCGGCUAAUACCGCAUACGUCCUGAGGGAGAAAGAUUUAUCGCUCUAGGAGGGGCCCGCGUCGGAUUAGCUAGUUGGUGGGGUAACGGCCUACCAAGGCGAUGAUCCGUAGCUGGUCUGAGAGGAUGAUCAGCCACACUGGGACUGAGACACGGCCCAGACUCCUACGGGAGGCAGCAGUAGGGAAUAUUGGACAAUGGGGGCAACCCUGAUCCAGCAAUGCCGCGUGAGUGAUGAAGGCCUUAGGGUUGU